rnacentral:rRNA from 1 species
AUUGAACGCUGGCGGCAUGCCUUACACAUGCAAGUCGAACGGUAACGGGCCUUCGGGUGCCGACGAGUGGCGAACGGGUGAGUAAUGUAUCGGAACGUACCUUUCAGUGGGGGAUAACGUAGCGAAAGUUACGCUAAUACCGCAUAUUCUGUGAGCAGGAAAGCAGGGGAUCGCAAGACCUUGCGCUGCUUGAGCGGCCGAUAUCAGCUUAGCUAGUUGGUGAGGUAAAGGCUCACCAAGGCGACGAUCGGUAGCGGGUCGGAGAGGAUGCUCCGCCACACUGGAACUGAGACACGGUCCAGACUCCUACGGGAGGCAGCAGUGGGGAAUUUUGGACAAUGGGGGCAACCCUGAUCCAGCCAUGCCGCGUGAGUGAAGAAGGCCUUCGGGUUGUAAAGCUCUUUCGGCCGGGAAGAAAUCGUAUCAGCUAAUACCUGGUGCGGAUGACGGUACCGGCAUAAGAAGCACCGGCUAACUACGUGCCAGCCGCCGCCGUAAUAC